GGGGUUGUGGCUCAAUGGUAGAGCACUUGCCUAGCAUGUGUGAGGCACUGGGUUCAAUUCUCAGCACCAUCA
rnacentral:tRNA from 1 species